GUGGGUAACCUACCUAUAAGACUGGGAUAACUUCGGGAAACCGGAGCUAAUACCGGAUAAUAUUUCGAACCGCAUGGUUCGAUAGUGAAAGAUGGUUUUGCUAUCACUUAUAGAUGGACCCGCGCCGUAUUAGCUAGUUGGUAAGGUAACGGCUUACCAAGGCGACGAUACGUAGCCGACCUGAGAGGGUGAUCGGCCACACUGGAACUGAGACACGGUCCAGACUCCUACGGGAGGCAGCAGUAGGGAAUCUUCCGCAAUGGGCGAAAGCCUGACGGAGCAACGCCGCGUGAGUGAUGAAGGUCUUCGGAUCGUAAAACUCUGUUAUUAGGGAAGAACAUACGUGUAAGUAACUAUGCACGUCUUGACGGUACCUAAUCAGAAAGCCACGGCUAACUACGUGCCAGCAGCCGCGGUAAUACGUAGGUGGCAAGCGUUAUC
rnacentral:rRNA from 1 species